CGCGGCCUAUCAGCUUGUUGGUGGGGUAAUGGCCUACCAAGGCGACGACGGGUAGCCGGCCUGAGAGGGUGACCGGCCACACUGGGACUGAGACACGGCCCAGACUCCUACGGGAGGCAGCAGUGGGGAAUAUUGCACAAUGGGCGCAAGCCUGAUGCAGCGACGCCGCGUGAGGGAUGACGGCCUUCGGGUUGUAAACCUCUUUCAGUAGGGAAGAAGCCGUGAGGUGACGGUACCUGCAGAAGAAGCGCCGGCUAACUACGUGCCAGCAGCCGCGGUAAUACGUAGGGCGCAAGCGUUAUCCGGAAUUAUUGGGCGUAAAGAGCUCGUAGGCGGUUUGUCGCGUCUGCUGUGAAAGACCGGGGCUCAACUCCGGUUCUGCAGUGGGUACGGGCAGACUAGAGUGCAGUAGGGGAGACUGGAAUUCCUGGUGUAGCGGUGAAAUGCGCAGAUAUCAGGAGGAACACCGAUGGCGAAGGCAGGUCUCUGGGCUGUAACUGACGCUGAGGAGCGAAAGCAUGGGGAGCGAACAGGAUUAGAUACCCUGGUAGUCCAUGCCGUAAACGUUGGGCACUAGGUGUGGGGGACAUUCCACGUUUUCCGCGCCGUAGCUAACGCAUUAAGUGCCCCGCCUGGGAGUACG
rnacentral:rRNA from 1 species